GAUUAUGUAUAUGACACUACCAUUUACUGGAACACAUGCUUUGAAAAUCAAGAAAAAUAUAAAGAACUUCCUUUGUAAUAUUUACCUACAAGUUGAACUACGUGUGGUACUUAAACCAGUAUACAGAAUAAGGAACUAUUUUGUAUUCAAAGACAGAGGGGACCGAUCAUAUCUAAUCUACAGAUAUCAGUGCUCUGUUUGUAAUGGUGUGUGUGUAGGGUCGACUGUGAGGAGGCUUAGUGAUUGAGUUAAAGAAUAUAGUAUGCCAAGGUAUGAAAAAUUGUCAAAUAUUUUCCAACAUGAAGAAUGCGUGAAUGCAAGUGUUAAAUUUAACAAUGCCAAAUUAUUGGAAAGGCUGAAAAUGAGCGAUGGCUACGGUUAAAAGAAACAUUAGCCAUAAAGAACUUAGCACCUGAACUGAACAGGAAAUCCAGCACAGGAUUGGUCAAAUCUACCAAACCUCUACAGAGAUUCAUUAGUCAAAAGCAUUGUGUAAGAAGACCAUGAAACGUUUCUUCACAAAGAAGAAGGAAAGUGGUGCUGAAGGACGGAAGAGACGAAAGUUGGAGGCAGAGAAAGCCAAAAAGUCGAGCAAGUUGUUCAUGCCCUUCUUUGAAAAGCCCGGUACAAGUAGUUCUACACGUUCCAUGGAGUCGCCUGCACCAGCUACAAGUUCGUUAGAAUCCGAAGGUGGAUCAAGUACAAAUGCGUCACAAGCGAGGAGAAAGUCAAGUCAUAUAAAUCCGAAUAUAACGAGAUUAAGAAUGAGGCUGCCAGAGAGAACAUGGACAUGACAGGAGGGGAAGAAAAUGGUGGUGGUGAUGUUGAAUUUAUUGACGAAAUUGAACCUGACAACACUGAACCUAGUGUAACAGGUUAGCGCUCAGAUGACAUUUUAAAGAAACAGUCUGGGAAUGACUUCUAUGAAUAGAUGAAACUAGGAUGGCUAGAAAGAAGCUUUCUCUUCCCUCUUCCCACAGCCAUUUCACAAUUGUGACCUCCCCCUUCCAACUAAUACUAUGGCACCUGUAGGUUUUAUAUAUUCUAUAUAGGAAGGUUACAGACGAAGUUUACAACAAACUUCUCUGACUCUUCGGAAGAUAAGUCUGGACUGUAAGUAUAUAUAUUUCUCUUAUUUAUUCAGUUUGAAGUUUCAGCUGUUUACUUGUUAUUUGAAUGAUUUUUAGUUUCUAUGGAUAGUAACUAAUAUAAAUGUGCUAUUCUUUUCUGUAGAGAAGCUACAUUGAUCUAAAAGCAUGAAAAUAAGUGUUUUAUUCCUCACCUUAUUUCUGGUUAUUCUGGCCAGUUACAAUGAACUUUACAAAUCUUACAGGCUGAACUACCUCGAACACUUUAACAUUAUCUCUACCUUAUCAUUAUGGUCUUUAAUGACCACAUGGUGGGAUUAUAAUAUUUGAUGGUAAAGUUGCUGUUUCUGCAUAACAUAAAAAUGUUUCAUUUUUUAUCAAUUAUACCAUAUUCUACUGUUGUUGAAUCCAUUCUUUAGUUUGAUAUUUUUCUUUCUUCCCACUAUGUAAAAUCUGAGCCAGCUGAAAAUGGCUUGACUAGACUAGAGUUGAGUUAGUGUUUCAUAAACAUUACAUGUUUUUUAACCUAUAGCCACAGCUGUAAAUAUAGCAUGAGUUCCUCAUGGUGUUUGAAAGAGAACUGAUACUUGCAAGUGUGUGUUUCUCAUGGUGUUUGAUGAAAGAGAACUGAUACUGAUGCUUGCAAGCGUGAGUUCCUCGUGGUGUUUGAUGAAAGAGAACUGAUACUGAUGCUUACAAGCGUGAGUUCCUUACAGUGUUUGAAAGAAAACUGAUACUUGCAAAUGUGAGUUUCUCAUGGUGUUUGAUGAAGAACUGGUACUAAUGCUUGGAGACAGAAGAGCUUAUCGAAAAUGCACAAAAGAUUAAAUACAUGUAUUUCAGUGUCAUUCUUAUUGAUUAUACAUUAGUAAGUAUCUCACAAACAUUUCCAAUAAUGUUGAACAGUAAAAUUGUUUUUUAACUUGCA